ensembl:lncRNA novel transcript
GGCUGGGGGAGCAGCCGUUGGCUCUGGUGCCCCUGGGGGUGGGAGCACGAGUGGGCAAGGAUGAUGGUGAGGCAGAGGAGGCGGCCCCGAGGGAGCGCCCGGCUGAGAGGCGGGGGGCCGAGGGGCCCGGGGAGCGGGCGUCACCGAGGGCCCUGGAAGCGGCAGGGCUGGGGGAGAGGAGACGCGUGUGUGGAGCAUGGGGACCCCAGCCCAGCUCCCACUUGCAGACCUGGGCCGCGGGCUGCCGGCCGAGUGGCCGGGGGGCCUGGCUGCCCAGGAGGCGGGCCGGGGCCGCGGCCGGGGGCGCGGAGCGGAGUUAGGGUCGCCAGGCCGAGCCGAGGUGGGACGGACCGACGCAGAGAGGAAGGGAAGCCACCUGGCCUGAAGAUCCUGUCUCUAAGAUCCCAUUCUGAGGCUUCGAGGGUCUGGCUUGAGCAGCACAGACAGGGACGUGUCUAACCGGGAUGACCAUGAGGUCUCAUCGCAGUUUGCCACUAACCAGGUCCACGCUGCUUUUAUGAGCUGUAACACUCACCGCGAAGAUCUGCAGCUUCACUCCUGAGCCCAGCGAGACCACGAGCCCACCGGGAGGAACAAACAACUCCAGACGCGCUGCCUUAAGAGCUGUAACACUUGCCGUGAAGGUCUGCAGCUUCACUCCUGAGCCAGCGAGACCACGAACCCACCAGAAGGAAGAAACUCCGAACACAUCUCAACAUCAGAACGGACAGACUCCAGACGCACCACCUUAAGAGCUGUAACACUCACCGCGAGGUUCCGCGGCUUCAUUCUUGAAGUCAGUAAGACCAAGAACCCACCAAUUCCGGACACAGUAGCAUUUGGGAAUAAUAAGAAUUGUAGCUGGGCAUGGUGGUACACGCCUGUAGACCCCUAGCAGCUGCCAUCAUCCUCACCAUCCGCAUAUUAUUGAUAUAUUAACUCUUUGAUGGCAACCAUAGCUUAUCCCCCUUAUCUCCCUAUGCCCUACAGCAGGGCAGUGGAAUGGUUAAGAGGCUUUGAAGUCUAAGAGUGCUGGCUUAAAACCCUAAUUUGUCAUUUUGGAUGUGUGGCUUUGGACACUUGGGGCAGGUCACCUAUGUUCUUCAAGCCCUGUAUCCUUAUCUGUCAGAUGAUGAUUUUUUUUUUUUUAGACGAAGUCUCACUCUCUUGCCCGGGCUGGAGUGCAGUGGCAUGAUCUCGGCUUACUGCAAGCUCCACCUCCCGGGUUGACGCCAUUCUCCUGCCUCAGCUUCCUGAGUAGCUGGGACUACAGGCUCCUGCCACCACCCGUGGCUAAUUUUUUUGUAUUUUUAGUAGAGACAGGGUUUCACCAUGUUAGCCAGGAUGGUCUCGAUCUCCUGACCUCGUGAUCUGCCCGCCCCAGCCUCCCAAAGUAUCAGAUGAUUUUAACAACUAUGCUUCCAUGACUUGCUGGGCUAGAUGAUAUGACUGUAAAAUGCCUAACCCAUGGUUUAGCAUCAAGUAAGCAAAUUGUAAAUGGUAGCACUGCUCUGCCUAUGACUAUUUAGUCUUGUGCUUUAAACUCAAAUAUUUGUUGGCCUACUGAAGUCACCACACAGAGAAAGAUGCUUUUCAUUCUCAGUAAAGAACUUUGGGAGAUAACUGGGGCAGGCAGCAAGAGAACAGAUGUCAUAUGUCUAGCAUCAGCAAACUCAUCAGAACUGAUGGGCAGCUCACUUUGCUUAGAACCUGCACCAGCAUACACACGGGGCUGCUUCCCAGUCACACUGCUCCUGGGAAGGUAGGGGGGCUGCUGUUCUGCAAUUAGCGCGGUUCUUUACCUCCUAUUACCGAACUGCCAGAGUUCAUUUGUGUUCAGUUAGGUAGAUGACCAAUUCUUGUUCAUUCCUAUUUUCUUUUGCUCACUAAUGUGUUUAACGUUCACUAACCUACCAAAUGUGAUUUAUUAGCGACUUUUUCUUUGAAGAUGGAGUGGAGGAAUCCUAGCGCUUUCUGCAACAUGCUACUGCUGUUAUGGAACAGUGCAGAUAUGGAAGUGCAUCAGCCGGGGAUGGGGAGAGGCUAGGGCAGUACAUGUGAAUGGAGAGGUAGCCCCACCAGUGUGUUUUCUGAAAUACAGUCCCGCAGAGGGCAGUCUUGGGAAAUUACUGUUCUCACACACUCUUCUUGACCCUACCCCUCCAGCACCUCCCUUGCUAUCCAAGGGUUGGGAUUUUUAAAAAGAAAAACAAAUUUUAAAAAAAGCAGUGUGAAUCUUUUGCCAUCUUGUAAGGGUGAAAAGCCCCCUACCAAGUCGGGAUGAACAUUCAUGCGUGUGCUUGAGGGCUUGGGAAAAAGACAGGGCUUGGCCCCACAGUGCAGGUAGGCCCAGUGAUCCUAUAAUAGGGGCCAGGAGAUGGGAGGUCCCCUGUGGGCAGGAGUUCAAGUAUGUGGUAUUAUAUGACUGGUGCUUGAUGAACCCAGGGAGAGGGCACCAAAAACAAUGGUAUUUAAUUGUAAAAUCUCCACCCCCUGAGGAUAUGUUUUCAGGUCUGGGUGACUAAUUAGACUGGGAAACAAGGGCAGGAACGAUGGCCCUGUGCUUGCUCUGCCCGCUGCCUCUGUGGAUGUGUGGGCUGCUGGCUUCAGUCCUGCUUUUCUUUCUGAUGGUAUUGUUUAUGCUAUGUGUUUUUGCAGGAGGCCUGAGGUGGGCUGGGUUCUCCUCCUAUGGCAGGGCUUCACUCUCCUCCUCCUUCUCUGUUGGGGCUUCACUGUCCCUGGGAUAAGAAUAACAAUGCCAAGGUUUUCAUUCUUGAAAGGAGCAAUUAAGCGUCUCACCCCCUCCUCAUUUUAGAUGGGAACUGUGAGGGUCCCGUCAUUUACCCAGGGUCCCUGUUGAGGAUCUUGUCCUCAUUAGAUGACUUCUUGUGCAGCUUCCAUGCGUGAUUCUUUACUCUUGUGGCACUGAGAGGUUUGUACAUGUCUUUAAGCCAGAGCGGCUUUCUGAAUGAAAAAAGUCCAUCCUAGAAGAUAGAAAGGGAAAUAUUAAUUUUGCAUGUCCUCUGCUUUCCCUGGUCACAGCAAUGAAUCCUCCAAUGUACCUGACUCUCCCUUUGCGAAGAGCAUCUCCGUGGCAGAAAUCUGAAAAUGCCCCUGGGGAGACACAUGCACAAGACAGUGAGUGAUGCAGCCGUUUCCCACGUAUCUCACAAUGUACUUCUCUGGUCUUAUUAGAACUAAAUGAGUAUCUCAGUCCAUAAUCACAGGGAGAAGAACCACCACAGACCACAUACCUGGGGUCUUGAAAAUAAUUCCAUGCAUGUGGGACUUUCAGAAGCUCUCCAUGUCUGUCCAGAAGGGCCCCACAAUAUACUGGGGGGACUUUGUAUGUGGCUCAGCAUGGAGCAGGGGCAGGAUGUUCAUUCCCACUCAUCCCCUUGGCCAAGUGCCCUUGUGCAGUGAACAAACUGCACAACCAUGCUGGGCAGAAGCAUUUUAUAUCAGUCCCCUUCGGACUUAGUCUCACAGGCAUCAUUUGAUGGGGGGUGGGAGAUGAAGUGGUUCUUCCUUUUCUAGAUACUUUAUUCUAUAAGUUGGAUCACCUCAAGCAAAUGCCUGAGUGCAGCUAGCCAAGUUCUCUAUCUCACAGUCUUCAUACAGCUGGCUGUCGCUGAUGAGUGAGUGAGCUGCGAAAUCAGCUUAAACCACAACAUGUUAUUUUUGAAUUUGAAUAAAAUAGGAAAAGGCAGAGUGCAUUGUGUGACCAUGGGGUAAGACACUCUCCCUUUCUCCUUCUCAGUUUUCCUGUCAUAAAAGGACAAACUACUAUCUAAGUUCUCCGUAGUUAAAAUUCUUUUUUGUUGUUUUUUUUUAUUUGAGACAGUUUGGCUCGUUCCCCAGGCUGGAGUGCAAUGGUGCUAUCUUGGCUCCCUGCAACCUGCGCCUCCUGGUUUCAAGCAGUUCUCCUGCCUCAGCCUCCCAAAUAGCUGGGAUUACAUGCCUGUGCCACCACACCCAGCUAAUUUAGUAUUUUUAGUAGAGAUGGGGUUUCACCAUGUUGGUCAGGUUGGUCACGAGCUCCUAACCUCAAGUGAUCCCAAAGUGCUGUGAUUACAGGCGUGAGCCAUCCUGCCUGGCCUUUCUGGUUAAAAUUCUGUGAGGUUUGUGUAAAAGGAAUAGAGUGGGGGCGCAAAAACCAGUAAGAUGAGAAAAUAGUGUUUCCUCAGUUCUAGUAUCCAGGGGAAAAAAAGAAAAGAGAAAAUACUGUUUCCUGCCACUUAAGAGGAAGGACUCACAUAUCCUACCUUCCAUCAGCCUUGAAGGAGACAAGUGCCCUCUCUCUCACACCCGGUGGCCUUCCCUUCCCCUUUCCCAGAGCCUCCAAGAAGGCCCCUGGCCUGGCCUGAUGCCCACCAUCAGCAGCAAUAGGCACCAAAACCUUUCUCCUUCCUAUCCCUCCCCACCUCCCAAAAGGGCUGGGGACAGCAGGUGUAUCCUUGUUAGUUCCAUCAUGAGACAGCACAUUCCUACAAUGUCGUACAGAUGUAAAUUCUCAAAUUAAUCUACAAAUUUAACGUAAUCCUAUUCAAAUCCCAAGAUAGUUUUUGGUGGUGGCUGUUUUUAAGACAGGGCCUCGCUGUGUUGCCCAGGCUAGAGUGCAGUGGUACGACCACAGCUCACUGCAUCCUCGACCUCCCAGGCUCAAGCGAUCCUCCCACUUCAGCCUCUGAAGUCUCUCAUAUGGUGUCCAAGAAAUGGUGACAAAUCUCACAAAGGGACUAGGCUCAGCACGGCUGGAAUAUUCAGGGAAGGUGUCAAGAAGAAAGAUGAACUUGUGUUGGCUUUUGAGAGAUGCAUAGGACUCCCACAGGCAGAGUGAAAUAAGGGCAUUUUAGAUGGACAAACACACAGACAGAAGCAGAAAUGUGGGUGGUGUGACUGGGGUAUAGUGAGGGGCUGCUGUGGCUGGAAUGGAGGGCUGCCACAAUAAUGGAAAUGGUAAAUGAGGCAAAUAAGGUUGGACUGGUGGCAUAGCGUCAAGGUUGCCAGCUUUAUUAAAUCACUCUUCCAAUAUGCUAGCACUGGCCUGUUGGGAAAAGUAAUAUAUCAUGUAAUCGAACAAAAGACAAACAGAGGCAAGCUCCAGGAAUGGGCACUGUAAACAGGACUUGCCCCAGAGUAGCCAGAUGUAGGCUUUAGAUAAGUUGAUGCAGGCUGAGCAUCUCUAAUCUGAGGGGGAAUGUCUCACAUGGUGUCCAAGAAAUGGUGACACAUCUCACAGAGGGUCUAGGCUCAGGAGGGCUAGAGUAUGAGACGUUCCCCCUCGCCUGUGAACUUAAAAAUGUGGCCAACAAUUUUUGUAAAAGAUGGCUACUCUGUAGUGCUUUAACUGGACCUAUUUAGACAAUGCCUUACACACUGGAGGACGAUACUGUGUAAAUCUAAUAAGUCUACAAGACAAUACUUCUGUCUUUUGGCUCUCUCCUUCCUCUCCAGGGUGAUGACAAAUCCGUGAGGGUGGAGAUUAUACCUCUCUCAUCAUUUCAGCACCAAGGAAAUAAAUUAGUGGCAGAGUAAGGGUGACUUGAUGAGUACAUCCAAUUGUUGACAUAGUUUUGGGUGGAGAAAUUUUGCUAUUAUAUCGACUUCUUAAAAUAGUCUAGUGGGAUUAACUUGGUUUCAAUUCACAGAGAUCUGGAAGCGAGGAUCUUUUAAAAAUCCUGAAAUAUACACUGCAAUAAAAGAACAAAGCAUACACCUCAGCCUUAAAUGACUGAAGAAGUAUGUCAAGUAGCAGCAGGUGGGAAAGUGGCUUUGGUUUUCAGUUUGUGAGCUCUGAAUCCACACAGAAACAGGACUGCAUUCUGACAACCUGAAUUAAUUAUUGUCCUUACCACAAUGAGGCAGAAAAGUAUAAUAAAAAUCAUUAGUAUUUCAGUCACAAUUAAUGCCAAGAUGAGUUUGUCAGUAUAGCCAUAU